GAAUAUUGGACAAUGGGGGAAACCCUGAUCCAGCAAUGCCGCGUGAGUGAAGAAGGCCUUAGGGUUGUAAAGCUCUUUCGCCCGCGAAGAUAAUGACGGUAGCGGGAGAAGAAGCCCCGGCUAACUCCGUGCCAGCAGCCGCGGUAAUACGGAGGGGGCUAGCGUUGUUCGGAAUUACUGGGCGUAAAGCGUACGUAGGCGGAUGCGCAAGUUGGGGGUGAAAUCCCGGGGCUUAACCUCGGAAUUGCCCUCAAAACUGCACGUCUUGAGACCGAGAGAGGUAAGGGGAAUUCCUAGUGUAGAGGUGAAAUUCGUAGAGAAUAGGAAGAACACCGGUGGCGAAGGCGCCUUACUGGCUCGGUACUGACGCUGAGGUACGAAAGCGGGGGGAGCAAAC
rnacentral:rRNA from 1 species